CCUUAUUCCCAAAUCCCAAAUCAGUUCCUAUUUUCACCAAAAAACCGUGUCGUCACCGGUACCACCUCUACAUGUCUAGCGCCAUUGUCUGUAGACAGCCGUCUCUACUCCGGCGGCCAAUCUGUCUCCCUUUUUCUCUGUCGCCGGCACCCAUCACCUUUGCGUCGUCCCACUUGUUCUUCCAUCAAAACACUAUCGUCAUUUCGGUCAAGGUGCUGCUUCCCCUGUCGUCGCCUUCUCCUCUCCAGCCUUCAACCGUUUCCGUCCCGCUGUGCCGCUGAUCAAUCUCAUCCAAUUCCGGAUAUCUUCUAUUUCUAUCUAUACCAAUUUCAUUUCAAAAUUUCGCCAAAUGUGCUAACUAUUGGAGUUUCUAGUGUUCCAUAAUCUAUUAGAACAGCUUGUGUAACAAAAAGAACAGAAAAAAAAGUGUAUUGGUUGGCAUGUUUGACAUAAAUGGGCCUUGAAUUAUUCAUUAAAAAACCAGCAAACACUAGGAGAGUUGAAGCCUAGCACACUAAAAUAAUGAGCACCUGCUGGAGUUGUUUGAUGGAGUCAUAAGUAUUCCUUAUUUUAUAUUUGAAAUAAGUUUUAGGAUACCUGAUAAUAAAGUAGUUUAUAGGAAUAAUCCCAGGGUUAGGGUGUUCAUCAUUUCCACCUCAAGUGUGCACUGAAUUCGGUGUUUCAACUCAGAGCUUCAAAUUUAAGGGUUUGGAAUUUGGUAAAGAUUAAAAAGAAAUUCAACAUAUAAUAAAUUUGUUCUCCAUUUAUUACUACUAUUUUUUCCCCAAAAUUUAACUUUGCUUUUCCUAAUCUUAAAAAGCUAAAACCCCAUUUCAUCGAUUCGGGAAACUGAAGUCACCAACAAAGUCCCAACAGCUCGCUUCAUUCGAACAGCUCAGAGAGCAUUUGUCUCUGCUGCUUCGAAAACCCUAACUAAUGGCAGCCAAUCACAAAUCGCAUCUGCAUCUUCACUACUCCAAUUUAACCCCCAAACCCACAAAUCGCCUUUCACAGCCAACAUCAUCAGAAUCCUAAGCAACGAGAUCGAGUACCAGCACGACUACGCUCCUCCCCAUCAGGUGGUGCUUUCAGUUUCUUGGGCUGAAAGGUUCUUAUAGCAUCUUUGACAAAACAAUAUUGUAGGCCACUGGAAUGGUUAUUUGGAUAUGGAGAACUUUACCUCUUUCAUUAUCUCCUUAAAUGAAUGGAUUGUUGAUCAUGAGUAGUUUUAUGGAUAAGGAUCAAUGCUUUACCUUUACUAGAUACUCUUGAAUUUGAAGCUCCAAUUCAGAAGGCUUAUCAAGUUCAUUUUAUCUUGCGGAUUGACUUUAUACAUGGAAGGCUCAUUCAUUUGGUGUGCUAGAAGAUUGAAUCAUUCUUGUUCAAGUACUUAUCUCUAGUUUUUAUUUGCAUUUUUGUGUUGAGAUUUUCAUAUGCUCUUUAGUAAUGAGAAUUCUUGUAUGUUGAACAAGAGAAGUGACAUCGGGUGUAUGUUAGUUGAUUUAUUCUUCUCUAUUGGGACCGCAUGAAGUCUACUUGUAAGGGAGUUGUUAGGAUUUAGCCGAUGAAAGACAUGUAUCAAUUGGUUGAUUGAAUAAGAUUAUAUUCUAAGUGAGACUUCGUAGAUUGUAAGACUGUUGUGUUUGAAUUACAUUAACAAAAUUUGAUUUUAUUGUUUUUUUUUCCA